CCUUAUGGACCUGCAUCCCUGCCCUAUCUGCCCCACCCUGGCUUCUUGCCCCCCAUUUCUCAAAUUUUCUCUGCAUUUGAGUGUGACUGCUUCCUCUUCCUCCAUAGUGCCUAGAUGCCAGCUGGGGGGACAUUGAGAGCACAGGAGAGACUCUCUUCUCAAUUCCCCAGCACUGCAGUAGUCAAUAGCAAGAGAAAUAAUUGCAGGAGAAGCCUGGUCAGCCCCAGAUGCAACAUGCUCAUUUACUCCGGGAGAUGAUAAAUGCACAAUUCAAUUGAGCUGUGAAGAGAUGGAACAUGUCCAGUGCAGAUAGAAUUUUUAGAGAAUUUAUUUGCCAGAAGCUGCUUAACCUCUACUGAAUAUGUGCAAGCUGAGAUUUUUUUUUUCCAGAGUCUUAUGACUUGGCCAAAUUUGGAUGGAUUUCAUGAACUGCAGCAAGCACAUUCCUGACAUGAGGAUGACCCCUUACCCAAUUUCAAGUCCCUGUUCCAAAUCAUUGAAUCUUUAGAACUUAAUGGAAAUGAUUGUGAGAAUUAUUUUUUACAUGGACAAAACGCAUUUUUCCUGAUCUCUUUCUGAGAAAUGGAUGAGCCGUUAUCACUGAAAUUUCUCGAACUAAACUGAGGCAGAUUCCUGGCAUGGAACGUUUCAGCCUAAAUGGCCAGUUUGGCCAAGUUUUAAGCAACUGAAAACAGGGUCUUAUAAGCAUUGACCAAGCUUAACCAUAGGUGGUGGUAUGUGGUAUAUGUUACAUACAGACAACCUUAACUGAUAAAUAAUGUGUAUGUGUGCUUUAUAUGCCUAUCACGAGAGAGGCUAUAAGGUUAAGGCAUCUAAUAGUACAUAUCCUCUACUCCAUUCAAUGUGCUCCUUGUUUUUAGAAUCGCUAUACAUCACAGACAAUGCACCGCAACUGUAAUUCUUUCCCAGUAGGGAUGGCCGGCCCUCCAGCUCUGUAUUCCCCAAACUUCCCACCACCUACAGACCAGAAUCCUCCUCCCGCAACUAUCCUUUCUGCACAAGUUCGGAAAAUCACUCUCAUUUGGAAAAGAAGGAUCUGCGCCACUUUGAGUUGGUGUGUGGGGAGCUUGCUUCUCAUGUUGAGGUUCGGGGGCUUCUUGUUCGAAGGCUUGAAGAGGGGAUUCAGGAAAGAUUUCUGUCAAGAUGUGGUCCCCAUCAAGCAUGCAUUGUAGCUGUUUGAUGAGACCCAUCUGGUUUCCAGCAUGGGAUGGUAAGUGACAACUUAGCAUGGGGUCAGAUGGGGUUUUAUUUCCAUAUUGAAGCACAUUCUCUUGGCGUAUUUGGGUGGCCCAUUCCUUGAUUCGAUCUACUUCUCUGGUAACCUGCUUCUCUGGUGUAAAAGAAAUAACCCCAGGAGAAGCUCCAUGUGCAGGAUUUUCUUUGUUGAUUUAAUGUGUUGCAGGCUUGUGCUGGAUCUGCAGCAUCAAAGGUUAUAGAAGAAAUGCUUGAUGAAAAAUCUGCUUUGUUAAAUGGCUAUACUUGGGAGCUACGAGUAGCGAGACUUUAAAUGCAAAAUGCAUAUUGAAUCAGAGGCUGUAAGUCAUUGUCUGUGUACGACAUGGCAAUAGAGUGACAAGGUUCAAUGUUCAGGAUAGACUUCAGCUAUUGCUGACAGGAUCAAAGAUCACCCAUGUUGCAAAGGUGAUGUCCUUAGUUAUUUAGGGUGGGUGCUGGAGGUAGGGAUUCUGAUUGCAUUGUUCAUUCUUUCAGUCAGUCCACUAGUGAUAUUUACUUACACCAUUGGAAAAUAACAAAAUGCCAUAAGCUUCCAAUAGGGUAAAGAGAGUGAAAAGGCAGCCACCCCCCGCCCUGACCCCAAUAUCAAAAGCUGUUGCACAUACUUUGACGCCUGAGGAACCCUGCUAGCAAAAAUUGCAAAUGUCAAAAAGAAACUUCAGAUGAGUUAAGAGCCAGCUGCCAUAGGCUUACUAUAUCCUUGCACAACUCUCAGGAAAAUUUUACCAGGAUCAGUUCAAAAACUACUUCCCUACCUUUUACCAUGAUGAAUGUAAGGGGAAAACACACUUUGCACCCAGCAAAUACAAUAACUUGCUCUGGACAAAUGAAGUGGUAGAAUUUUUGCAAGGCUGCCUUACUACAUAACCACUAACUAAGUAGCAAUUUUAAACACUACAGUCUUUGAUUCUUUUUAUUCCUUUUUAUUUUAAAUUUUUUCUAAGAGAUUUGUGGUUACUCAGCAAUCUGACGUUGGAUGUACAGUACCUCUGUAAAUGAGGUUAUACAACAUCUAUAGCUGAAAAGAAAUCAGAAAAGAUACCCUGGGUACCUUCUUGUUUGUUAACACACACCUAAAAUGAGAUUCAAAUUGACCAAGAAAAGCCUUAAAAUAACUGUCUGUCAGUUCUAUUGUGUAUAUACAUUAUACUUAUGGAAGCAUUUAUCUAUUAGUAUAAUCACAUUGCUUUCCAAACUAUCUUAAUCUUCAACUAAUGUUAGCAAUAGGAGUAAAAAAUACAAAGAAUUACAGUAGGUCAGUAGGUAACUGUCAGCUCCGUAAGACCAUUUGUUUUUGUGUUUUGGGUCAGACCUCUAUGAACUAAGAGGCACAUAUAUCUCCCAGAAAGAUGUACAUGUUGACUAAUUUUUCUCAGUGUUGAUACUGCUUCAACACUGAG